AUGACUUAAAGAAACAACCAUUUAUUUUGCUCAGUGAUUCCUAGUUAGGUAUUUUCCAGAGAGGACAGCUUAUCUCUGCCCACUGUAUCAUCAGCUGGAGUGGCUGAACCUGUUAGAGUUCAGUUGGAAAGGCGCUGGCUCACUGGGUGGUUGGCGAAUCUGUGUGGGUGUGGCUGAGUGAGGAUAUCCAGGGAUGACCCUCGCACCCUACCCCUCCACUCAUCUCUACACAGGCCUUUCUGCUUGUUAGAUCAUCUCAUAGCGUGAGGUAAAAACCACCGCGAGGGACAACGUAGAUCUCAAAACAAGCAGCCCACGGCCCAGGAAGUGGAAACUCUUUCUUUGUUCAGACGUUGGCUAACGAUCGCUUCUGUAACACCGCUGUUGAAGCAGUUGCAGAGGCAGAUGGGACAAAGAGUUUUAGGUCGAAGACAGAUGCUCCUAAGAUUUGAAGGCUGGGGACUGCCCACGUAGACAACUGUCUCUACAGAUUGGUUACGUUUCGGAAGCUAUGCUUUGUGCUUCCUGUAUUUUCAGCUGAUGAGUUCCUUUCCUGUUUCCAGGAGAAAAUGCCAUGGCCAAAGCCAUGAAAGUGUUUAUUGGGGAUUUACAGGUUCAAUGUGAUCUUUAGGACUUACUGGGGCCUGUGCAAUGGCUCAGUAGGAAAUGUCCUUGGUGCCAAGGCUGAGUUAAUCCCCAGAAGCCAGUGUGGAGGAAGACAAGUGACUUCUGAAAGCUGUACUCUGCCACGCCUACGGCAUUCGGGCAAGCGCACAUGCAGGAGAUAAUAAAAGAAACAGUUGACAGUACAAAAGACGCCAAGGAGCUUCUGGAUAAUCCAGGUCCAUGCGAGGAUCCAGGAGCAGUUUCCAGCAGCCACUUGGUGCUUCACAGCUGCCUAUGAUUGCAGUUCAAGGGGUUUCAACAUCAUCAUCUAGCUGGCUUAGGUACUGCACAUAUGUGUUGGGACACGACACAUAUGCAAAGUCAAGCAUUGGUACACUUGGAAUAAAAAUAAAUAAAAUCUUUUAAAACAUUUGUAAAA